rnacentral:rRNA from 2 species
GGGCUUGACAUCCCACGAACCUGCCUGAAAGGGCGGGGUGCCCGCAAGGGAGCGUGGAGACAGGUGGUGCAUGGCUGUCGUCAGCUCGUGUCGUGAGAUGUUGGGUUAAGUCCCGCAACGAGCGCAACCCUCACCCCUGGUUGCCACCGGGUAAAGCCGAGCACUCGAGGGGAACUGCCAGCGUCAAGCUGGAGGAAGGCGGGGAUGACGUCAAGUCAUCAUGCCCCUUACGCCCUGGGCUACACACGUGCUACAAUGGCCGGUACAAAGGGACGCGAGACCGCGAGGUGGAGCUAAUCCCAAAAAACCGGUCUAAGUUCAGAUUGCAGUCUGCAACUCGACUGCAUGAAGGAGGAAUCGCUAGUAAUCGCGCAUCAGCACGGCGCGGUGAAUACGUUCCCGGGCCUUGUACACACCGCCCGUCACACCACGAAAGCUGUCUGUACUCGAAGUCGCUGAG